UGCACAGGGGUCCCGGUGCACGGAGGGUCCCCGUUACCGCGGUGCCUCCGGUUGCAGCGGGGGGUUCCCUGCGUGCAGGAGGCUGCCAGGCUUUGGGGGGCCCUGGUUUUCCGGGUGUGCAGGAUGUAGGGACAGUCCCCAGCUUGGGGGAGCUGCCCCCAGAAGGGUCCCCACGACCCCCCAGAUGCAGGUGGUGUCUCAGAGGUCCCAGCUGUGGGGUCCCCACCAAACUGGAGUGAAUCCUGCAGGGUUUCCAGCCGCAGGACAGGUGCUGGGAGGAGGCUCAGGCAGAGGGACGUGAUGCUAACACUCACUCCGGGGUGGGUGCCCCCAGCCCCUUGCGUGCCCCCCAUCACCCCUGGGCUGUGCUCGAGGCCGUGGGGCAGAGACAAGACCUGUCCAAUGUCCAGAUCUUCGGGCUGGACACUGGGGACAGAGCUUCCUGCCCAUCCCGGAGCGUCCUUGGACCCUGAAACCCCCUGACCGUCCCCCCCAGGCUGGAUGUCCUUCAGGGACAGGGACAGGAUGCUUUUCCCUGCAGGAUGGUGACAGGGAAAGCUGGACAACGCUGUUGGCACCUGAGACCCUGGUGACACCCAGCAAAGCCAUUCCCCGGGGUGGGAAGGGGUGACAGAGGGAGGUGCAGGACCUAACUCAGAGUGAGCAGAAAGGAGAAAAGCCCAGAAGGAUGUGAAAGGAGGAAGAUCUCUGUCCCUUUCUGAGCCGAGUGCACAGGAUCAGGCACAGAGUGCUGGCACCAUCCCGGGGGUGCAGGAAGAGUCCCGAGGUUGCUCAGCACCAUCCCGAGGGUGCAGGAUGAGUCCCGAGGUUGCUCAGCACCAUCCCGAGGGUGCAGGAUUAGUGCCGGUGUUGCUCAGCACCAUCCCGAGGGUGCUCAGCACCGUCCCGAGGGUGCAGGAUGAGUCAUUCUGCACCUUCUGGAAGGCGCUCAGCACCCUCGGGACCUUUGACCCUGUUCCCUUUGAUCGCAUUACCUUUUUUCCCAAUUUCCGUUUUUCCCAUAAUUCCUUUUUUUUUUUCUUUAUUCCUGGUUUGUUGUUUUCUUUCCCGUUUUUUUUUCCCGAUUUCCAGGGUACUUUUCUUUAUUCCCGUUUUUUUCCCGAUUCCGCCGUUUUCCCCCCCCAAACCGGGCCGGGGUUUUUUGCCCUCACGGUGUCACCGCGGGAGCAGCCCUGGCGCGGGCGCUGCUGCUGCUCCCGGUUGCUCGAGCGGCCACAAAAACCCCAAAAUCCCCGGAUUCCACCCCCAAAUUCCCCCCAGAACUUCAGCCCAAAUUCCUGCCGGGAUUUCCACCCAAAACCCCCAAAUUUCACCCCAAAAUCC
rnacentral:lncRNA from 1 species